UCGAUUUGAGAUGUUGGGUUAAGUCCCGCAACGAGCGCAACCCUCGUCCUCUGUUGCCAUCAGGUUAAGCUGGGCACUCUGAGGAGACUGCCGGUGAUAAACCGGAGGAAGGUGGGGAUGACGUCAAGUCAGCAUGGCCUUUAUGUCCAGGGCUACACACGUGCUACAAUGGCGGAUACAAAGCGUCGCGAUCUCGCAAGAGUGAGCUAAUCGCAGAAAGUCCGUCUCAGUUCGGAUUGCAGGCUGCAACUCGCCUGCAUGAAGUUGGAAUCGCUAGUAAUCGCGGAUCAGCAUGCCGCGGUGAAUACGUUCCCGGGCCUUGUACACACCGCCCGUCACAUCACGAAAGCUGGCUGUACUAGAAGUAGCCCCGCCAACCCGCAAGGGAGGCA
rnacentral:rRNA from 1 species